UACGUAGGGGGCAAGCGUUGUCCGGAAUCAUUGGGCGUAAAGCGCGCGUAGGCGGCCCUGUAAGUCCGCUGUAAAAGUCAAAGGCUCAACCUUUGAAAGCCGGUGGAUACUGCAGGGCUAGAGUCCGGAAGAGGCGAGUGGAAUUCCUGGUGUAGCGGUGAAAUGCGCAGAUAUCAGGAAGAACACCCGUGGCUAAGGCGGCUCUCUAGUACGGUACUGACGCUGAGACGCGAAAGCGUGGGGAGCAAACAGG
rnacentral:rRNA from 1 species